rfam:Xenopus laevis strain J chromosome 3L, whole genome shotgun sequence.
GCUUUAUGAUGAGCUCCACUUCUAUGGUCCGUGUUUCUGAUGCAUCAUGAUCUCUGUGGAAGUUCUGAUCAG